AACCUUAUGGACCUGCGGGCGUAUACCUGCGGAGGGAUCAUCAUCGAAUUCAUAUCCCCCUCCUCUCCCGGAGGGGGACCCAUGACAAACCCUUCUGUGCACCGUAAACGUUCACUUUGGCAGGCUUUGGUGGUGAGCGUGAGCUCGCCUCCAACCUCGCGUUCCCUCCCUAAGGGGCGUUACGCGUGGCGGCCUGCCGGAGUCCUAUUAAAAAACUCGUUUUCGAACACGUCUGAAAAU
rnacentral:misc_RNA from 1 species